GCGCCAAAGGAUGAAUAUUGGAUUAAAAUUCUCACGACGGUCGUCUGAGGCACCCUUUCAGGUGUCUUUGUUGAUGCAAUAAUCCAAUUUUUCUGAUGCUC